rnacentral:misc_RNA from 1 species
UACGGAAGGUGCAAGCGUUGUUCGGAAUGACUGGGCGUAAAGCGCACGUAGGCGGGUCUAUAAGUCAGUUGUGAAAGCCCAGGGCUCAACCCUGGAAUUGCAAUUGAAACUGUAGAUCUUGAAUACCUGAGAGGGUGGCGGAAUUCCGGGUGUAGAAGUGAAAUUCGUAGAUAUCCGGAGGAACAUCAGAGGCGAAGGCGGCCACCUGGUGGUGUAUUGACGCUGAGGUGCGAAAGCGUGGGUAGCAAACAGG